GACAGAGGGGGCAAGCGUUGCUCGGAAUCACUGGGCGUAAAGGGCGCGUAGGCGGGAUGGCAAGUCGGUCGUGAAAUCUCUCGGCUCAACCGAGAAACGUCGGCCGAUACUGCCGUUCUUGAGGGAUGCAGAGGAGAGUGGAAUUCCUGGUGUAGCGGUGAAAUGCGUAGAUAUCCGGAGGAACACCGGUGGCGAAGGCGGCUUCCUGGACCGACACUGACGCUGAGGCGCGAAAGCUAGGGGAGCAAACGGG
rnacentral:rRNA from 1 species